AAUGACUGCCCAAUUUACUACUGUAUUCCAGAAUGUAGAUUGGUGGCUGAGAUCACUUGCUGAUAAAAUGGCCAGGAAACUAUCAAUAAUACACUCCAGUUCAGUGGCUUGGGACGCCUGAAAUUGCAUAACCAGGGAUAUCAAUUGAGUGUCUGGACACUGCAUAGCAAUUG